rnacentral:rRNA from 1 species
GAUGAACGCUGGCGGCGUGCCUAAUACAUGCAAGUCGAGCGAACGGACGAGAAGCUUGCUUUUCUGAUGUUAGCGGCGGACGGGUGAGUAACACGUGGAUAACCUACCUAUAAGACUGGGAUAACUUCGGGAAACCGGAGCUAAUACCGGAUAAUAUUUUGAACCGCAUGGUUCAAAAGUGAAAGACGGUCUUGCUGUCACUUAUAGAUGGAUCCGCGCUGCAUUAGCUAGUUGGUAAGGUAACGGCUUACCAAGGCAACGAUGCAUAGCCGACCUGAGAGGGUGAUCGGCCACCCUGGAACUUGGCCACGGUCCAGACUCCUACGGGAGGCCGCCGUAGGGAAUCUUCCGCAAUGGGCGAAAGCCUGACGGAGCAACGCCGCGUGAGUGAUGAAGGUCUUCGGAUCGUAAAACUCUGUUAUUAGGGAAGAACAUAUGUGUAAGUAACUAUGCACAUCUUGACGGUACCUAAUCAGAAAGCCACGGCUAACUACGUG